AUGAAGCCUGUAAUCAAAAUGUUCCAUGGAGAGAGGUAAGUGGAAGGAAAAUUUUUGUUGGAUAAAAAUUGAAAACGCAGGCGUUUUGUAAACCCCCGGUAUCCUAAUGUGAUGGUGAGCAUCCACUCGUCCAGGCUUCAGUGGUGUCCUCAACCGUCAUCGUAUUUGUUCUUUGUGUGGGUACUUCGUGUUAAUGUUUCCUUGAAGAUCUGUCACCUGUAUAACGUUGGUGUCCCAGAUCGCAGGCAACAGGCAUCGUGUCGGAGAGGUUGUUCAUCGUUGUAGCAGAAACGCACCUUUUGGCACCGAAGCUCGUUAACGCGUGAAGGUCGUGGCUCUCUGUCGCUGGUGGUGGUUGAGGUGUCAUUGCUUCAAGUGUCAGUUCAGGUGGUCAUUUACAUUUGCCGUGUGUAGGUCAGUAGUCAGUGAAUAAUGGCAUCGAGUAGCAAGUUCGGCUAGGAGCCGUGUACGUGGAAUGAGCUUCUUGGGGAUCACUGGACGGAUGUCAAUAUCUGUGUUUCGAAUCAACAGGAGAUAAUGUUUGAUAUGGUAGUCGAGGUAGAUGCUGACUUAUCUUAUUGGGAAGGUAGGGGGCUUCUGUGUUGCCCAAUUUUUUGGGUUUGGAUGGGUUGCGAGCCAAAGAUGACCUUGAAAUGGAGUUUUCUACACCUAAAGAGGCAAGCGGCUUCUAUAACAACUACAGCCAACUAAAGGGCUUUGCAUCACGACGUGGUAAGACGGUUA